rnacentral:lncRNA from 1 species
CAAAAAAAAAAAAGAAUUGGUUUCACUGAUCAGUAGCAGGAUCACAGCACUGUAGAGGGACCCUCUACCAAUGCCAAGGGAAUGCUGCCAAAUUCCUCCUGCAAAUACUUGGAAAUUUACACUAACUCUCUGUGAAAUCACUGAAAAGUAAUGGCAAAUCAUAGGUUAGAAGCUCCUGUGGGCAGAAUAAUUGCUACAAAGAGAAAACGUUACUUUCUUUCCAAACAAAUUCUGGGGCCAUUUUUAUAUUGGGGAUGUCCCUAUUGCUUGUCUUUUAAGUUUCUGAUGGUUUUUUUUUUACCUUUAAAAAACGUUCGAGCUACAGGAACCUGCAGUGGAAGAAAGGAGUCUCACUUUCCUUGAAAGCUACACUCUUCUCCUCCAGCCUCCCCUCCCUUCCCUGACCCCCUCCCCCAUGUCCCCUAAGAGGCAUCAAUGAUGUCCGGGGUAGAUGGGGGGCCCUGGGACAAUCACACAGCUGCAGGCCACAAGGCUUUCACAUUGAGUCAUCUCCUUAGCAGUGUGGGCUGAAGCCGAGUCUCAUGUCUAACUCAGAUGAUGCCCUUUCCCAGCUACCCCGUAUUUAGUACCUGAAAGUUUCUGAAGUAAAUGAACAUCUGAAACAUUCUGCAGGGCCUCUGGCAUCCAGGGUGGGGCUCCUCAUCUGGUGUGUGCCAGCCCUCCCUUAGAUGUUGAGGGUGCAGGGUAGGGGCAAGAGCUAUUACUGUCUUCUGUCCUCUAAUACCCUGUCCCUACCACCCUCCCCGCCCCCCGCCCCCCACCCCACUCACACACACGGCCUCAGGGCUAUGUGGUCUAUGGGAAACCUCAUCUUGGUAGCCAGUCAGUAAUAGUGAAUAAAAUAGAGGACUCCCCAUUCCCAGUUCAGUGUUUAUCGAGAGAGGUUGUAAAAACAAAGAGAUGUGGCUUUGCAAGAUUUUCCUCACACUCAGGACUCAAGUUACUGUUAACCUCUCCGUCAUCCGCAACUGACUUGGCAUAAGGCCACCUGUCUGUGCUUGGGUCCUGUCAGCAGUUUCUCUGCAGCAUCCAGACUGUCACCUUGUAGAAAUCACCAUUAGGAUAAUACCAGGCACCAGACACUGUGGUGGUCAAAUCUUGAAGAGUCAAAUCUUGGGAGUCUCUCUUUAUAGAUUCCCAAUCCAAUCCCCAAAACAUUUACUUACCACCCACUAUGUGGAAAGAAAGCACUGUGACCUGGAGGGUAGGAGAAGCAGCGCAAGCAGCUGAGUCUAGCAGCAGGACCACCAGAAACUAGAGCCAUUCUUCACGAUGCUGCCAGCCAGGGAACGGAGUGAGCCCAUGAGCUCCGACCCAGCAUGGGCAGCACCUUCCACAAAGGGUGCCUCAUUUGAUCUUCACAACACCCCUAUCGGGUAGAUACUAUCAUGCCUAUUUUAAGAUGUGGAAACUGGAGCCCAAGAUCACACAGCUAUCAAGUUAUAAAGCUGACAUUUAACCUGGACUCUGACCACUAAUAAUCUGAUCUGCGUGUUCACUGAUCAGAAACAGACAAAAUGACAUAUAAGAAAUUGAUAUUGGCCGGGCACAGUGGCUCACACUUGUAAUCCCAGCAUUUUGGGAGGCCAAGGUGAGAGGAUCGCUUGAAGCCAGGAAUUUGAGAUCAGCCUGGGCAAUAUAAUGAAACUGUGUCUCUACAAAAGGUAAAAAAUAACAUUAGCCAGGCAUGGUGCUGUGCACCUGUAGUCCCAGCUUCUCAGGAGGCUGAUGCAGGAGGAUUGCCUGAGCUGAAGAAUUUGAGGCUGCAGUGAGCUAUGAUCACACUGGGCUACACUGCAGCCUGGGCAACAGAACAAGCCCCUGUCUAUUAAAAAAAAAAAAAAAGAAAUGCAUAUAAUAAAAAAAAGAAAUGCAUAUAAUAAAUUCUAUGUCACAACACAGAGCAAGGUUUUAAAAAUAUAUAUUUUAAAUUUAAUAAAUGAUGUUAGGAAAGCUGGAUAGAAAUAUGAAAACAUCGAUUACACACCAG